GCCAAGAAAAGCCUCUAGCGAGGUGAGAGGUGCCCGUACCGCAAACCGACACAGGUAGGCGAGGAGAGAAUCCUAAGGUGAUCGAGAGAACUCUCGUUAAGGAACUCGGCAAAAUGACCCCGUAACGUCGGGAGAAGGGGUGCUCUGUUAGGGUGCAAGCCCGAGAGAGCCGCAGUGAAUAGGCCCAGGCGACUGUUUAGCAAAAACACAGGUCUCUGCGAAGCCGUAAGGCGAAGUAUAGGGGCUGACGCCUGCCCGGUGCUGGAAGGUUAAGAGGAGCGCUUAGCGUAAGCGAAGGUGCGAAUUGAAGCCCCAGUAAACGGCG
rnacentral:rRNA from 1 species